rnacentral:tRNA from 1 species
UCCCUGGUGGCUCAGUUGGUAAGGCGUUAGCCUGCAGUGCAAGAGACCUAGGUUCCAUCCCUGGGUAGGGAA